AAUGAUUGAACUAUUAAAAAAUUUUAAUUUCAUACAAUUGAGUCUGUCACGUCAAUAAUUCUUGACGUAGUUGUCUGGGUGGGGCAUAACUCAAUUUGUGUCAAAAAAAUAAUCUUUUAUUUUGUAAUUAAAUAUUUUUGAUAUAUUAAAGGUUAAAAUCGUCACACCAUUUUCUUUAAUACAUUGAGACUCUUGUAUUGAAUUCAUGGAUAUCUUCAAAUUCCAGGGAAUCAUCUCCUCAACCUGAUCAUCUUUGCAUCCCUCGCCUCUCCAUGACUCUAUCCGUACCCUUCUCGUCCUCACUUAAUUUUGACGAUUCUUCGAGCCAAGUUGUAUCCGACCCUGACCUUCGAGAAACACUCGUUUCCAACAAGAACAACAAACUUAUUGCCAAACCGCCUCCCAAGCCCAUUCAGGUUACACAAACUGGACUUAACUGGUGUGAAGAUCGAUUCAAUAGAGAGUUUGUUAUGGAGCUCCGGGUUGGGUGAAGAUCAUUGUCGUAUUGCUUUGUCGGAGAAAGAUAUGGUAUUGCAAAUGGUGGUUUUAGGGGGCGGCGAUGGUUCUGAUGGUGGUCGGGGAAGUCGGAUCUGUGGCGGUGGAGCUGAAUUUUAUGGUUCGAAUCAUGGACGUGGUAGACAUGACAAUUGUAACGACUAUUCUACAAUCCGAUGUCACUUUCGUAAUUUCACAAAUCUCUUGUGCAAUUAGUGGGAUCUUAUUACAAGAUCAUAGGGCUUUAAUUAAGGUAGGGAAUCAUUCUUAGUUCUUGGCACAAUCAAGCGAAUCGAAUUUGAAGAAUAAAAAAGAGUUUAGGUUAAGGGGAAAGAUUUGCCAAUUUCAUAAAAAAAAAUUUCUUUAUUGUUCAUAUUUCAGUUUUAUAGUUAAUUUUCAGUCCAGUCUUCUUCACUAUUUUUAUCUUCUUGUAAUUUCAGUAUCAAUUUUGAAUUUAAAUAAAUAAUUUAUAUCUAAUUUCGUUGGUGUUGUGGUU
rnacentral:lncRNA from 1 species